GGCAUCGUUUCCAGGCCUUUGACCAUUUUGGUUGCCCUCCUCUGGACACGUUCCAGUUUGUCAGUGUCCUUCUUGAACUGUGGUGCCCAGAAGUGGACACAGUACUCCAGGUGAGGUCUGACCAGAGCAGAAUACAGUGGCACUAUUACUUCCCUUGAUCUAGAUACUAUACUCCUAUUGAUGCAGCCCAGAAUUGCAUUGGCUUUUUAAGCUGCCGCGUCACACUGUUGGCUCAUGUCAAGUUUGUGGUCAACCAAGACUCCUAGAUCCUUUUCACAUGUGCUGCUCUCAAGCCAGGUGUCACCCA